CACGCGGACGAGGUCGGGGGCACCAGGAAGUCAUAUAAUAAAGGCAUGAACCAGCAACCAUACAACCCAUAGACGCCUAAUGCUUAAAAAAGUUCUGUCAACUGGCUGAGGUUUGAUCCGAACGCAGAGCCACCAAUUGGACUUUUUAAACAUAAUCUAUGACCAUUCAUCGAGGAAGAUUUUAGGCUAUAAA